UUCUCUCUCUCUCUCUCUCUCACACACACGCGGCACACAAAAUGGCUGACACCCAUCAUGGUGAUGGAUCUUGCUUCCAAGAACGGUCGCCGCAUGCGGCAGAGGCGGAGAACGCCUUAGUAGAUCGCUUGGUCGGCCGUGCCUUCUUCCACCAAGGAUCAUAACAUAGAGGGUCACACCCAUGUACGUGGCACACAGGAUUAAGCCAGGCAGAGAAAAAUUACUUCUCAGAUAUUACCUGAAAAGAAUAAUUUUUGCAUGACCAUGUUCGUUCUUCAAGCUUAUUCAAGCUUCAGCAAUGCAUGUGAUCAAUGGGGAUCGCAUGUACAGUAGUCUCUUCUCACCCCCUCAUCCAAAGAUGAUGUUCGCAUGAAAAGAGGGAUAGUCCUCAGUUUCUAUAUAUCUGUUGAUCAUCAAACUGAAGCAGACAAUUGUUGGAAGAUGUUCAAACCUUGAAUCAAAUUGUCAUUCCCUUUGUUC